GGCCGUCUUGACUAUAGUGGACCAUGUUGAAUUUUUCAGAAACUUAUCCCGAUUGGCUACAGUGAGCUAUGUGGCUAUUGUGGACCACUCAUCACUGCAGUGGGCCAUGUUGACGGCUAUAAUGGACAGUCUCAGGUACGGUGAGCCGUAUGACUACAGUGGAUCAUCUAUGACUGUAGUGGGCCACGUUAAUGGCUACAGUGAGCCAUGU
rnacentral:lncRNA from 1 species